rnacentral:rRNA from 1 species
CCCUUAGAUGUUCUGGGCAGCACGCGCGCUACAAUGGUCUUCGCAAACGGAUGCAUUCUCGAAGGAGAAUGCCAAUCUUGGAAUCUAUGCCUUGGUCGGGACAGUUGCUUGCAAUUUUUCGACUCGAACCAGGAAUUCCUUGUAAUCGUGAUUCAUCACAUCACGGUGAAUACGUCCCUGCCCUUUGUACACACCGCCCGUCGCUCCUACCGAUCGAAGAGUUAGGUGAAUUGUUUUGAUCGAUAAGAUUUGACUAUGGUCAACUCUCGUUGUGAAAUUCUGUGAAUCUGACUGUUUAGAGGAAGGAAAAGUCGUAACA